AUUGAACGCUGGCGGCAGGCCUAACACAUGCAAGUCGAGCGGAUGAAGGGAGCUUGCUCCUGGAUUCAGCGGCGGACGGGUGAGUAAUGCCUAGGAAUCUGCCUGGUAGUGGGGGAUAACGUCCGGAAACGGGCGCUAAUACCGCAUACGUCCUGAGGGAGAAAGUGGGGGAUCUUCGGACCUCACGCUAUCAGAUGAGCCUAGGUCGGAUUAGCUAGUUGGUGGGGUAAAGGCCUACCAAGGCGACGAUCCGUAACUGGUCUGAGAGGAUGAUCGGUCACACUGGAACUGAGACACGGUCCAGACUCCUACGGGGGGCAGCAGUGGGGAAUAUUGGACAAUGGGCGAAAGCCUGAUCCAGCCAUGCCGCGUGUGUGAAGAAGGUCUUCGGAUUGUAAAGCACUUUAAGUUGGGAGGAAGGGCAGUAAGUUAAUACCUUGCUGUUUUGACGUUACCAACAGAAUAAGCACCGGCUAACUUCGUG
rnacentral:rRNA from 1 species